UUGAAAAAACCAAAUACCUCUGCAGUAUCCCACCAAGCCUAAGAAUUUCCUUAGUUCUUGUUUGUUUUUAGGUAAGGGUUGGGACACCACCCCUUC